rnacentral:misc_RNA from 1 species
AGCAGCCGCGGUAAUUCCAGCUCCAAUAGCGUAUAUUAAAGUUGUUGCAGUUAAAAAGCUCGUAGUUGAAUUUCGGGAUCAAUAUGUUGGUCGUGCCUCGGUACGUACUAGCAUAUUGGUUUCUCCUUUCUGAAGAACCAUGAUGUCAUUUAUUUGGUGUCGUGGGGAAUCAGGACUGUUACUUUGAAAAAAUUAGAGUGUUUAAAGCAGGCUCACGCUUGAAUACAUUAGCAUGGAAUAAUGAAAUAGGACGUUUGAUUCUAUUUUGUUGGUUUCUAGGAUCGACGUAAUGAUUAAUAGGGAUAGUUGGGGGCAUUAGUAUUCAAUUGUCAGAGGUGAAAUUCUUGGAUUUAUUGAAGACUAACUACUGCGAAAGCAUUUGCCAAGGAUGUUUUCAUUAAUCAAGAACGAAAGUUAGGGGAUCGAAGACGAUCAGAUACCGUCGUAGUCUUAACCAUAAACUAUGCCGACUAGGGGAU